ACGAACGCUGGCGGCGUGCUUAACACAUGCAAGUCGAACGGAAAGGCCCUGCUUGCAGGGUACUCGAGUGGCGAACGGGUGAGUAACACGUGGGUGAUCUGCCCUGCACUUCGGGAUAAGCCUGGGAAACUGGGUCUAAUACCGGAUAGGAGCCAUUUUUAGUGUGAUGGUUGGAAAGUUUUUUCGGUGUAGGAUGAGCUCGCGGCCUAUCAGCUUGUUGGUGGGGUAAUGGCCUACCAAGGCGGCGACGGGUAGCCGGCCUGAGAGGGUGGACGGCCACAUUGGGACUGAGAUACGGCCCAGACGCCGACGGGAGGCAGCAGUGGGGAAUAUUGCACAAUGGGCGCAAGCCUGAUGCAGCGACGCCGCGUGGGGGAUGACGGCCUUCGGGUUGUAAACUCCUUUCGCUAGGGACGAAGCUUUUUGUGACGGUACCUAGAUAAGAAGCACCGGCUAACUACGUG
rnacentral:rRNA from 1 species